rnacentral:rRNA from 1 species
UACGUAGGGUGCGAGCGUUAAUCGGAAUUACUGGGCGUAAAGCGUGCGCAGGCGGUUCGUUGUGUCGGCGGUGAAAGCCCCGGGCUUUAACCUGGGAAUGGCCGUUGAAACUGGCGAACUGGAGUGUGGCAGAGGGGGGUGGAAUUCCGCGUGUAGCAGUGAAAUGCGUAGAGAUGCGGAGGAACACCGAUGGCGAAGGCAGCCCCCUGGGUCAAGAUUGACGCUCAUGCACGAAAGCGUGGGGAGCAAACAGG